AGCAAGUCUUACUUGAUCCUUCGGGUGAAGGUGGCGGACGGGUGAUAACCGCGUUAAGACUUGCUUACAGACUGGGCACCAACAUUCUGGAAACGAAUGCUAAUACCGGAUAUUAUGACUGAGUCGCAUGAUUUGGUUAUGAAAGCUAUAUGCGCUGUGAGAGAGCUUUGCGUCCCAUUAGUUAGUUGGUGAGGUAACGGCUCACCAAGACGAUGAUGGGUACCGGCCUGAGAGGGUGAACGGCCACAAGGGGACUGAGACACGGCCCUUACUCCUACGGGAGGCACAUNGGGGAUAUAUUGGACAAUGGACCAAAAGUCUGAUCCAGCAAUUCUGUGUGCACGAUGAAUUUUUCGGAAUGUAAAGUGCUUUCAGUUGGGAAGAAGUCAGUGACGGUACCAACAGAAGAAGCGACGGCUAAUAUACGUGCCAGCACCGCGGUUUAUACGUAUGUCGCAAGCGUUAUCCGGAUUUAUUGGGCGUAAAGCGCGUCUAGGCGGUUUAGUAAGUCUGAUGUGAAAUAUGCGGGGCUCAACCCCGUAUUGCGUUGGAAACUGCUAAACUAGAGUACUGGAGAGGUAGGCGGAACUACAAGUGUAGUAGGUGAAAUUCGUAGUAUAUUUGUAGGAUAUGCCGAUGGGGAAGCCUAGCCUACUGGACUAGUAUACUGACGCUAAAGCGCGAAAGCGUGGGUAGCAAACUAGGAUUAGUAUACCCUGGUAGUCCUACGCCGUAAACGAUGAUUACUAGGUGUUGGGGGUCGAACCUCAGCGCCC
rnacentral:rRNA from 1 species